rnacentral:rRNA from 1 species
UACGUAGGGCGCAAGCGUUUAUCCGGAAUUAUUGGGCGUAAAGAGCUCGUAGGCGGUUUGUCGCGUCUGCCGUGAAAGUCCGGGGCUCAACUCCGGAUCUGCGGUGGGUACGGGCAGACUAGAGUGAUGUAGGGGAGACUGGAAUUCCUGGUGUAGCGGUGAAAUGCGCAGAUAUCAGGAGGAACACCUAUUGCGAAGGCAGCUCGCUGGGACGUAACUGACGCUGAGACGCGAAAGCGUGGGGGAGCAAACAGG